ACGAACGCUGGCGGCGUGCCUAAUACAUGCAAGUCGAGCGAAGUUUUUCUGGUGCUUGCACUAGAAAAACUUAGCGGCGAACGGGUGAGUAACACGUAAAGAACCUGCCUCAUAGACUGGGACAACUAUUGGAAACGAUAGCUAAUACCGGAUAACAGCAUUAACUGCAUGGUUGAUGUUUAAAAGUUGGUUUUGCUAACACUAUGAGAUGGCUUUGCGGUGCAUUAGCUAGUUGGUGGGGUAAAGGCCUACCAAGGCGACGAUGCAUAGCCGACCUGAGAGGGUGAUCGGCCACACUGGGACUGAGACACGGCCCAGACUCCUACGGGAGGCAGCAGUAGGGAAUCUUCCGCAAUGGGCGAAAGCCUGACGGAGCAACGCCGCGUGAGUGAAGAAGGAUUUCGGUUCGUAAAGCUCUGUUGUUAGGGAAGAAUGAUUGUGUAGUAACUAUACACAGUAGAGACGGUACCUAACCAGAAAGCCACGGUUAACUACGUG
rnacentral:rRNA from 1 species